rnacentral:RNase_P_RNA from 1 species
GAGAGGUGGUGGGCGGCUGACCGAAAGGAGGAAAGUCCCCCCACCGUUAAUGGCGGAGUGCCGCAAGGCACUAUGCCGAGAGGCAUGGUUUUGGCACAGAAAAAUAACCUGCCCAGGGCUAUGCGAUGACUCCGAGAGGAUGAGGUCACCUGGGCAGGAUGAAAUCGCCAGCCCCGCCGGUGCAACGCUUAGCGGCUCAGACUAAUGCCGCCGGAACAGAAGGGGGCUUACUACCACCUCUC